rnacentral:tRNA from 1 species
CAGAACACAGCCAAAAGUCACUGCUUCACCAAGCCAACGUUUGUUAAACCCAAACUGUUCUAAG